UGCGUAGGCGGUCUGAUAAGUCAGUUGUGAAAGCCCGGGGCUCAACCCCGGAAGUGCAAUUGAAACUGUCAGGCUUGAGUAUGGUAGAGGGAAGUGGAAUUCCAGGUGUAGCGGUGAAAUGCGUAGAUAUCUGGAGGAACACCGGUGGCGAAGGCGACUUCCUGGACCAAUACUGACGCUGAGGCGCGAAGGUGUGGGUAGCAAACAGGAUUAGAUACCCUGGUAGUCC
rnacentral:rRNA from 1 species